rnacentral:rRNA from 1 species
GACGUAGGGGGCCAGCGUUGCUCGGAAUCACUGGGCGUAAAGCGCACGUAGGCGGAUUGCUAAGUCAGGGGUGAAAUCCUGGAGCUCAACUCCAGAACUGCCCUUGAUACUGGCGGUCUCGAGUCCGGGAGAGGUGAGUGGAACUGCGAGUGUAGAGGUGAAAUUCGUAGAUAUUCGCAAGAACACCAGUGGCGAAGGCGGCUCACUGGCCCGAUACUGACGCUGAGGCACGAAAGCGUGGGGAGCAAACAGG